CCCGGGACUCGCUCCCGGAACCAGGCGCCGCCGGGACACCAAACUCUUGUUUUUUCAGUAUCUUCUGAGUGGCAUUAUAAAUGAAUCAAAACUUUCAACAACGGAUCUCUUGGUUCUGGCAUCGAUGAAGAACGCAGCGAAAUGCGAUAAGUAAUGUGAAUUGCAGAAUUCAGUGAAUCAUCGAAGUCUUUGAACGCACACUGCGCCCUUGGUAUUCCGAGGGGCAUGCCCGUUCGAGCGUCAUUACACCAAUCAAGCCCUGGCUUGGUAUUGGGCACCGGGGGCGACCCGGGCCUCAAAAGUCGCCGGCUGGUAAGCCCCUGAUCUCAGCGUCGUGGAUCAAUCAAAUUCGCUUGCGAGAAGGAGUGAGCCGUGCCGGUUAAGAAUUAUCUAAAGGUUGACCUCGGAUCGGGUAGGAAUACCCGCUGAACUUAA
rnacentral:rRNA from 1 species